rnacentral:rRNA from 1 species
GAUGAACGCUGGCGGCGUGCCUAAUACAUGCAAGUCGAGCGAACAGACGAGGAGCUUGCUCCUCUGACGUUAGCGGCGGACGGGUGAGUAACACGUGGAUAACCUACCUAUAAGACUGGGAUAACUUCGGGAAACCGGAGCUAAUACCGGAUAAUAUAUUGAACCGCAUGGUUCAAUAGUGAAAGACGGUUUUGCUGUCACUUAUAGAUGGAUCCGCGCCGCAUUAGCUAGUUGGUAAGGUAACGGCUUACCAAGGCAACGAUGCGUAGCCGACCUGAGAGGGUGAUCGGCCACACUGGAACUGAGACACGGUCCAGACUCCUACGGGAGGCAGCAGUAGGGAAUCUUCCGCAAUGGGCGAAAGCCUGACGGAGCAACGCCGCGUGAGUGAUGAAGGUCUUCGGAUCGUAAAACUCUGUUAUUAGGGAAGAACAAAUGUGUAAGUAACUAUGCACGUCUUGACGGUACCUAGCCAGAAAGCCACGGCUAACUACGUG